rnacentral:rRNA from 1 species
CCUACGGGCGGCAGCAGUGGGGAAUAUUGCACAAUGGGCGCAAGCCUGAUGCAGCCAUGCCGCGUGUGUGAAGAAGGCCUUCGGGUUGUAAAGCACUUUCAGCGGGGAGGAAGGCGGUGAGGUUAAUAACCUCAUCGAUUGACGUUACCCGCAGAAGAAGCACCGGCUAACUCCGUGCCAGCAGCCGCGGUAAUACGGAGGGUGCAAGCGUUAAUCGGAAUUACUGGGCGUAAAGCGCACGCAGGCGGUCUGUCAAGUCGGAUGUGAAAUCCCCGGGCUCAACCUGGGAACUGCAUUCGAAACUGGCAGGCUAGAGUCUUGUAGAGGGGGUAGAAUUCCAGGUGUAGCGGUGAAAUGCGUAGAGAUCUGGAGGAAUACCGGUGGCGAAGGCGGCCCCCUGGACAAAGACUGACGCUCAGGUGCGAAAGCGUGGGGAGCAAACAGGAUUAGAUACCCGUGUAGUC